UGCAGCUCACAUUCAGGAAGAAAAGAAAAUAGCCAACAACUUCUGUCGUUUCAUCGAUUUCCUGUAGACGAUAACAAAGAGAAAGAAUGGAUAAUUCACAUUAAUAGACGAAAUUGGAUUCCAAAUAAGUACAGCCGUAUUUGCUCGAAACAUUUUACUGCGGAUUCAUUUAUGUGUGUUCCUAAUUCGAAGUGGAGACGUCUUCGAGACGAUGCUAUUCCUACAUUGAACAUUAUAGAUCAGACAGAUGAAAUGGUAAUUACGGCCGAGCACCACGCACCCGAAGUCUCGACGGCAAAAGGGACAAAAUUGUGGGUCCGCGUUAAAUUCCCAUAUUUCGCCAGUUUUUGGCUAGCGGCCCACUCGGCAGCCGGCCCUGCGGUUCGAGUAGUACGGGGCAGGUGCGUUGCUGCAAACCUGCAAGCGCAGGUCGCGUCCCACAAUAAAGCACGCUCCCUCUCCUAGGGUAUGAGCGUGAGCCCAUCGGGCCUCUUACCGUCUGUGCGGCUUAGACCCGGCGGUUCCAAUUUGCACGGCACGUCGAUCAACACCAGUGCACGGCGGAUGACAUCAUAAAUAAAUUCGAAUAUUACAAAAUACUUACCGAUGAAACGAUAA